AUAACGACCUCAUCAUCCCUUGGAGAACCGUGGAGGCGCCGCGAAGGCUUCUGGGUAGCGGAGUCCGAGUGCUCGGCGAGCGCAGGCGUAGUGGGAACCCGGCCCGGGCCCAGAGGGAGGGAGGGAGCGAAGGAAGGAAGCGGCCUUUGUCCCGUUCCGGACGCCGCGAGCGCGGCCGGGGGGGGCCCCAGAGCCUGUACCAGAGCCACCAGGCCCACCUGGGGAGGUCAAGACAGGACAACUGAGAGGAGUAACCAUGGAAGACAGCCGGACUCAAGUGCGAGUGGCUGCCUGGCCAGGCAGGGGGGCGGCUUCCUGCCCUGGAAGAUCAGGGUGGAAGCCUCGGGAGCCCACACAGCAGCAGCCUCCAGAACAGCUCUGUUCUGCAUCAGCUCUCUGCCGAUGACUCUGGAUCCCCAGAUGGAGAGGAGAGAGCCCUGGGCCAGCAGGUGGGGGACCUGGGCUCUCCCCCUGACUCACCAUGUGACCUUGGGGAAGUCACUUGCCCUCUGUGGACCCCAGCGUCCCUGCCUUAAAAGUGGCCACACUGCAGGAGAACUGGAGAGCAUCAAGGGAGGGAGUGUGACCCCAGAGGAAUGUGGAGUCCAGGUUCUAGGGGACAAGGGAUCUGAGGAUGGUUCUCCAACCAUCACGUCUGCAUCAGAGGCCCCCUGGAUGUUGAGGAAAGAGAGCCGGGCUCUACCCUUGCUUCAUUGCGCAACCUUGGCUCCUCCAUCUCCAGACUGCCCUCUGCCCCCAGAGGAGCAUGGAAUGGCUGCCAGACUCCUUCCAGCCAGGGCCCAGCUGGUGGAGGUGAUGAGAUGUGCCCACUGCCUGCUUGGUGUUUCAGGAGACAGUGACAUUCAAGGAUGUGUCUGUGGACUUCACCCUCGAGGAGUGGGGACACCUCGGCCCUGCUAGAGGGAGCUCUACAGGGAGGUGAUGCUGGAGAACUACAGGAACCUGGUCUCCCUGGGUGAGGAAGCCUUCAUCUGGGGCCUCAGAGUGGUGGGGAUCCCAAAUCAGAGCCUCUUCCUUGGACCCAGAUCCUGGCAGUGUCCGCUCCCCUUCCCAGCCCCGCAUGAUCUCCUCCCUUCAGGGCUCUUCACACCACGGGCUGCAUCUCCCUUUCCCCAAGACUAAGGAGCUCAGGAUUCCAUUAGUAGACACCCCGCCUCCCCCCCCCCACCAAAAUACUCGGCCACAUCCACUGUCCCUCUCUAGGAGCCGAGUGCCAAAGUGCCAAACCAAAGCUAAUCUCCCAGUUGGAGCAAAGCAGAGAGUCGUGGCUGUUGGAAGAAGAUCCGCAUGGCCUCUGUCCAGGUGAGCAGAGCAGAAGGGAGGUAUCAGUUGUGAGCUCCUUGAGGGCGGAGAGUGACCAACGGUGUCCAAGGCUGCAGAGAGGCCGAGGAGAAUGAGGACUGACGGGGCAGCAAAGAGACCAUCGGUAACUUUGGAUGGAACAGUUUGGGUGGAAUGAUGAGGUUGGACACAGGCCGUAAGGGGUGAAGGAGAGAGUGAGAGGAGAGAAAGUGGAGGCCCUGACUGUAGGCGGCCUUCUGGGGGAGUUAGCACCAAAGGGCAGAAGGGUUAGCAGGGAUGGAAGGAUCAAGGGAGGGUUUCUUCAGGAUAGCAGAACCAUGGGCGUGUUUGUAGGCAGAAGGGAUGGGCAGGUAGAUGGGAGAGACAGAAAAGAAGUGAAAGAGAGUUUCCUAUCUGCUCCAUCGCCUGUGAUGCGUGUGCCCCAACACCUCUUCCUGUCGAAGCCCAAUUCAAGUGUCUCCUUUACCAGAGGCUGUUCACCUGAGCCCCUCCUCCUCAGCUCAGUGACUGGCUCCCCUCACUCCCCUCACCCUUAUUCGGCACGCUGGUUUAAUGGUUAUUUGUCUUCUCUCUGACUCUGAACCAACUGAGAGCAGGC
ensembl:lncRNA